rnacentral:piRNA from 1 species
UAGAAGCAGGCACAGCCGUUGAUGGGUUUUU